rnacentral:piRNA from 1 species
AUAAAGUUGCCAGGAAGUAGGCACAAAG